rnacentral:lncRNA from 1 species
UUAUUAAGAAUAUGUUACUAUAAUAAGUAAACUGUAGCUAUUAUAAACUUCGAUUUCUUUUAUCCAUGCAAGUUAUGUAACCUUUAAACAAGAUUUAUAAAAAAAAAUAUUAAUUGUGUAAAUUUGUUAAGAUAAGCUUAACAAUAUCAUAUAGGAAAAAAAAAACAUCGAAAUAUUAUAUAGAUAAUACCAUUACUUUAUAACUAAUGAGAUGAGAUGAGUAGAUAUUAUAUAAUACAAAAAGUUAUUGUUUAGAAAUCAGGAUGUAAUUAUCCAGCGACCUUAAUUUAUAAUUACCAUUAGCAAGUAAAUUAUGAUUCAAUUAGAACAAUAUUCACCAUCAAACUUCAAGGCAUAUUCGAGCUACACUAAGAGCCUAAGACCAUUCAAAUAUGCAAACAUGCUUCUCGAAUCCACAUAUAAUGGUAGAAUAAUUCGAGUCAACUUUAUACGUUCAUGAACUAAAUAAAAAGCAAUAAAAGAGAAUAUAGCAUAAAUACUA